UAAAGCAUGCACUCUCAACUCUCCAGAACGUUACCCGUUAUCAACAUUUGAUUAAGUACUAAUUGAAAGCCAUGGAUCAACAGGAAUAAUAUUUUGGGAAUUUCUCAUGUGUUCAUCUUAUCUUUAGGAAAAUAUAUGCUUUUCGUUCAUUAUCAAAAAAUAGAAUUUCUUUUCCUAAUAACCUAUUUCCAGGAGCGAGAAGAAAGGUUAUUUUAUUGCUUAAGAGAUUCUGCUGAAGAUCUAUUCAAAUCACAAUGGUGUUGAAUCCUUGCGAACGAUACCUGCCCUCUUUGAGAAGUUAAGAAGUCUUGUGGAAGAACUAACAAGGAAGGCAACUACCAAUAAAAGGUAUGAUGCCAUUUGGAAUUUUAAUUUGCUUCUCUUUUGUAUAUUUUAUGGAAGAUCAUUUCUGAACGUGUGACAUAGCUAAUUUAAAUUCACUUUAUCCUAUUUUUAUGCAGGAAUUGCCAUGGUGUGGCCACAAGAGAGAAAGCAGAAAGA
rnacentral:misc_RNA from 1 species